CAAUUCCUCUGACAAGAACAGAAUUGCGGCUGCAAUGGGGCUUCCACUUCUUGGGCUUUUUAGCCUUGAGGCUACCCUUUUUCACUUUGCUACCAGCAUCAGCCUUCUUGGCUUCAGGUUUCUUCUCUUUAGUAUCCGGCUUCUCAACUUUUUCACCUGCCUUCUUGCAAGAUGGGAAUGAGCCGAAACUCCUAUAGCCACAUUUGAGCCACAGGGAAUUUCUCAGAGUGGCUUUCAGGCCCAAUUCCGCUGAGGCGACGGGCACAGAGGGAGACAGGAUCUGGCGAGAGUUAACAUGGAAGCUGGGGUUGGCCUUUCAGAAGCAGUGGGGAACCAGGAUUCAAGGGGGAAAGCGUGAAUGCAGUCCCCCACUACCACAAACAUUGGGGAAAUCGCAGGGGUCAGCACAUCCGGAAUGCAAUAGAUAACCUCGCUCUGGGAAAACUACCUUUGUGAUCAUGGUAUCUCCUCUGCCAGAAAGAGUCUCACUAUGUUGCCCAGGUUGGACUCAAACCCCUGGGCUCAAAGGAUCCACCCAUAUCAGCCUCCCAAGCAGCUGGGACUUCAGGUGUGAGCCACUGUCUCCAGCUACUACCACUUGUUUUUUAAAGAAAAGAGCUUCCUCAGUACUCUCAUAUGGAUUAUAAUUAUUAAUAAACUCAUAAAUUCAGACAAUUUGGUUUUCAAAUAUCUGAUUAAAUAAAGGGAGUAUACUGUUACAAUUCCUGAAUGUUAGAA
rnacentral:lncRNA from 1 species